GACGAACGUUGGCGGCGUGCCUAAUACAUGCAAGUUGAGCGCUGAAGGUUGGUACUUGUACCAACUGGAUGAGCAGCGAACGGGUGAGUAACGCGUGGGGAAUCUGCCUUUGAGCGGGGGACAACAUUUGGAAACGAAUGCUAAUACCGCAUAAAAACUUUAAACACAAGUUUUAAGUUUGAAAGAUGCAAUUGCAUCACUCAAAGAUGAUCCCGCGUUGUAUUAGCUAGUUGGUGAGGUAAAGGCUCACCAAGGCGAUGAUACAUAGCCGACCUGAGAGGGUGAUCGGCCACAUUGGGACUGAGACACGGCCCAAACUCCUACGGGAGGCAGCAGUAGGGAAUCUUCGGCAAUGGACGAAAGUCUGACCGAGCAACGCCGCGUGAGUGAAGAAGGUUUUCGGAUCGUAAAACUCUGUUGGUAGAGAAGAACGUUGGUGAGAGUGGAAAGCUCAUCAAGUGACGGUAACUACCCAGAAAGGGACGGCUAACUACGUGCCAGCCGCCGCCGUAA
rnacentral:rRNA from 1 species